AUCUUGGGUUGCAGUGCAGAAGUGAGUUAAAAGGAUUGAUUGACCUCAUCUCUAACCAAUAACCAUGUGAUGUUAAAGGAAAAAAUGGUCCCUAUGAAAACUGUUCAGCAUGAUCUGUGGAUUAUGCAAAAUAUUGGGGACACUUCAGCUGUGUGCACCAACAACAGUGCAACAGUUUUGAACUGGGGUGGAGGAAGUCUCAGAGACAUAUAUUGCUUGUAAAAGAAAACUAUCUGCACAGCUAGAUACCACUAAAGCGAAGCCCAACGCUCCUGAAAAAGUAUAGUGGCUGCUGUUGGAGGAGAGAGAGCAAAGGCCAUAUCUCCACAUCACACGGGAACAUCCCUCUAACACCAUGUCCGCCUGGAUCAGGAGUCAAACAAGAGAGCAGCAACUUGUGGGAGGUCCCAAAACAGAAGUUGUUGUUGGUGGUGUGCUGCAUAUUGUGCACAAUCUGUGAUCUGCAUCAUAUCUGGUUUGCCCCACUGCUGUUAAUGUUAAACGUAUUACAGGAGUCAACACACAAUGACUAAAUCCAAAUAAUAAAUGUUUUCUGAUGCUGUUAAAGGUUUGUUUCGAGCUGAA